GAUGAAGAACGUAGCGAAAUGCGAUAACUAAUGUGAAUUGCAGAAUUCAGUGAAUCAUCGAGUCUUUGAACGCAAAUUGCGCCCCCUGGUAUUCCGGGGGGCAUGCCUGUCCGAGCGUCAUUGCUGCCCUCAAGCACGGCUUGUGUGUUGGGCUCCGUCCCCCCGGGGACGGGCCCGAAAGGCAGCGGCGGCACCGAGUCCGGUCCUCGAGCGUAUGGGGCUUUGUCACCCGCUCUGUAGGCCCGGCCGGCGCCAGCCGACAACCCAUCAUCCUUUUCAGGUUGACCUCGGAUCAGGUAGGGAUACCCGCUGAACUUAAGCAUAUCAAUAAGCGGAGGA
rnacentral:misc_RNA from 1 species